CAUUAAGGCAGUUAUUUCUUCUGAAGACUGUGUGCAGAACCGUUGUGAAGGGCGACGUAGGUGCCGGGACAACAUGGAACAUUGGAGCCCAGCGGAGAGGUUGAUUGCCGAUCCCGGAGCAUCCACGGCGAUACUAGUGGAAACAUUGGUUACAAGACAUGACCAGGAUUGAGGAUGCUUACCAACCACGUGUCCCAGAAUCUAAACGCAGAUGCUCGAGUUCUUGAUUUCGGCAGAGGAAGAGGUGUUUCAUCCACUGUGUGCUCGGUGCUGCUUGUGAAAGUGGAGAGCGACCAAGGUUCGGAAUGUUCCUCGGUAAUGCUUGUUUCAAGUAAGAAAUGCUGCAUUUGUGGUCUGUCCAAGCAUCCAUGGUUCAGGCGUCCUGCUCGUGGCGCAAUCUGCAACGUGUCGGAAGAAUGGGUGUCACACUAGUGGUGCGGUGCCACCACACUGAAGAAAGCUCUUAACUUCUAAGGAAAAAGUUAUGGCAAAUUAUGAUUACCGUCCAAGAAAACAAUGCAUAGAGGCCAGAAAUCGGGUAUUAGGAUUUAUUUUUGGUUGUUAAAAACUCCCUAAGUAAGAGUUAUAAUUGACGCUGGUCAGAGCUCCAGAUUAUGCUGUGCAGUUCUGGUCCCCAUAUUACAAGGAUAGGUCUGUUAGAAUAGGUACAAAAAAGACUAAAAGAAAAGAGGAUGAAGGGUAUUUCUUAGAGAGGAGGAUGUAACCUUUAAAUUUACACCCAUUAGAGAGGAGUAGGUUAAGAGGACGCGAGAGGUCUUUAGCAGCGUAGAAUGAGAAAUAACGAGUGGAAACUUGAAAAGUUGGUUUGAGAUAACGAGGUAAUUCCCAGGUGAAUGGAAUGAACUAGAUUCAAUAAUCAGGUUGAGUGCUUAGGGAGCUUUAAAAUUCUAGGUUAAAGAUUUAUGAAUGGUGAUGAUUGGUGGAAAUAAGCAUGUUGCAUAUAGUGACUGCCACGUGUAUGUACAGCUUCCCGUAGUUUCAUGUGUUCUUGUACAAAAUAUCCUAACAGAGAUACCAGUGUUCCUGAAGUACCACGCUCCCCCGACUGAUCAAGCGUUAUGAGGGGACUACACUAGACGGGCGGCGAGCACAAAGGACGGAAUCCAGAAGCUGUGGAUGACACUACGGCUCCACAAACACCCUUGCAGCAGAGAUGAUGGGUGAUGAACCCUCCCGAGAUUAUAUACUUUUAUUAAUAGGGAUUGUAAUAUUGUUUCAUCUUUAUCAUUUAGUGUCCUUGUAAAGCCUUUGUUCUUGGUUUCAGAUCUUAUUUCGGAUCAGAAUUAAAUACUGGGUUGUACUGAUUGUUACACGCUUCAGAAUGGCUUGAGGAAUCACCUUUUAUCUAAACACUGACCCACAAUUUUCAUGACUACAGCUGCUCACUUCCUCGUGCAGGUGUAUCCAAGACAGGGCAGACGUGUACUACAUUAGGACAAGUAGGAGCAAGGUGUUCUUACCAAGGUUUAAAAAUUUAAUAUCUUGCUACAGGUGCUGCCAUUACUGAAGGGAGAAGUAAACCAGUGUGUGCUGCCAACAAUCCCCAUCCUGCUGCAGAAAGCUUUGUUGUACUGGGAGAUUGGAUGCUAUCCUCUGCCUCGCUUCACCUUCCAGGGAGGGAGGAGGGAUACUCAACUCUAUCCUGUCAAUACGUUGCCGCACUGUCCGGUUAUCCCCUCCUUGUCCCGUGAAUGUACCUACAUGCAUUGUAUAAUAAAAAUAAUAAAUUACGAGAUUAAUA